GAUGAAGAACGUAGUGAAAUGCGAUACGUAAUGUGAAUUGCAGAAUUCAGUGAAUCAUCGAAUCUUUGAACGCACAUUGCGCCUGCCAGCACUCUGGCAGGCAUGCCUGUUCGAGCGUCAUUUCAACCAUCAAGCCCUAGGCUUGCGUUGGAGCCCUGCGGCUGCCGCAGGCCCCUAAAAGCAGUGGCGGGCUCGCUAUCACACCGAGUGCAGUAGAUUACUCUUCGCUCAGGGCGUGUGGCGGGUUCCAGCCGUGAAACCCCCUACUUCUCAAGGUUGACCUCGGAUCAGGUAGGAAUACCCACUGAACUUAAGCAUAUCAAUAAGCGGAGGA
rnacentral:misc_RNA from 1 species